CGCGGUCGCCGUGGUUACCGUACCCCGGCUGCGGCUGAUCAGUAAACACUAAUUACGCCCGCCACCCAGGUGCCGGGGCGGCUUGCUGAAGACUGAAAAACACCUCAAUCCCACUCCGGGACUUUGGUAUGGUUUUUAAUUUUACGGCUCCUGUCCUCGAAUCUGUCCAAGCGUAUUAGUAUUACGUGCGAGGUUUUCCGACAGGACUUUGACGGAUGUUGCCCGGAGAGAAGCUGCUUUCCCGGGCAGAGAAAAGCUUCCUUUAGAGGCCUGGAUGGACGAGCCCUGCUGUACCCGCCUGGACCUGAUGCAAGCGCUUGGGUGGAGCAGUCCUUGAUGGAGCAGAAACAUCGUUUUCUGUGUGAGGGCCCGUCAUGGCCCAGGUGGACAGCCACGCAGACACACGCGCCACCUCCCCCAGAAAUCAGUCCCAGGCCAGGGGUGCAGGGGAGCGGCUUCGCCCGGGAGACUCACGAAGAGCGCCACUGCAAAACUCAGACUCUUCCGCCCCAGCACGCUGUCGCUGCCCCCGCUGUCCUGCCCGCGAGCAGUGGGGACACAGACGCGUGCACACAGACCGCCAGGGCCACUUCAUGGGCACGCCUAGUCUCACGCACGCGGGCGGGCGCUCACCAUACUGCUCCAGUCCCCUCCCAGCCCCAUAGCACCCUCUAGCGGGGAUAACGUGCUCCCUCGUAGGCGCACCGACCGACCGGACUUGAACCUAGCACCAAGCGCCCACCCUCCUCCUUCCUUAGCCCGGUGCUGCAGCUGAAGCUUCUGCAGGUUUGUUUGAUCACCUGCCUUUCUACUUCUCCUGCGUUUAUGACCCUGCUGACGCCCGGGGAGAGGGCAGCACAGCUAGCCAAUCAGGAUGCUCUAAAGGUCAAGCCUCCUGUCAGAGCCUCCCAUGGCCAAACCCAAGUGGAUGCUGAAGACAAAGGAGCCCAUAGAUGUGGUCCACAGAGGCCAGUUUCCAGGAACAGAGUACAGAGUGGAAGAAAGAGAAUAUCCAACAUUUUUCACACCUUUUGCCCUUCAUCAUCCACCUUGUCCAGAUGAAGGUGUCAUGUCCCCAGCCCCAGGACGUACAAAAUCCCAUUAGUUACUGAAUGACAUCGUACUCCCACCUGAAACCUAAAGUGUUAACCAUAAUGCUCUUCAUGUAAGGUUUGGGGGUAAAAGUGAAGGAAGAGAAUCAAGUAAUUAACAUAAAAGCUGCUAUUAUCCCUCCUUCUAUACCUGGUCAUGAGACUCAAGUUGAUAAUUGUGUCUUCCCUCUUUUAUUACCUAUUACACAUUUCCUAACUCUUUGCUACCACCUCAAAUAAUCAGGAUUUUUUUACCCUCAUUUCUUCAUAAUCUGUGUCCUUUGGUGGCACUAUCUUUUUUGGGUUGCCUCAGUUUUCCACUGAUGAGUAAUCUAGUGAAGAGAAUACUCAAUGGUGGUCUAUGAAGUCUUGGAUUCUGCAUUUGGUCCUUCCUGACCUCAUUGUAUAGUGGUGACCCAAUUUCUCCUUGGGACCUCCACUGAGGCCAGUGAGCCCAAGGUCGCCAGGAUCAGAAGCAAACAUCCCUUAAGAGGAUACAACAGUGAGAGGCCAUGCCCACAUCCAUGCUCCCAGUCUGGUUUCCAGACUUGGGCAUUCCGUCUAUGGGGCAGCACCAUACAUUGGCUGCUGGUUUAAGGUAUGUACUGUGUCCAAUAGCAGGUUUUGCAGACUGCGGUCUUCCAGGAGGCAUAGUAACUGAGCCUUCCGUGGGCCAUUCAACUGGAAUAUGAAGCCAUCUACUUUCUGAGGCAUGUGGAAAGACCAC